CGGAACUACCAAACAAACAGGCCCACGACAUUUUCCUGACGUGUUUCAAAGACUUAUUUCGUCUUUUCAGCUGAAGUAACACAUCAUCAUUCUUUUACCUGGACUGAUGGUGACCCUGAUGAACUUCUGAAUCAUCCAACACCUUCAUUCUUAUGCACUUUUUAAAGGUUUGUCACGACAUGGGCUUCUCAAAACAAGUCUGCGAUCCAAGUGAACUGAAAACCAGCAAGACCAGUCCCACGUGAAGACGUGGCCGUAUACAGCUGGAGGACAGAACAUCAGCGCCUGCAGUCGCCACAGGUAUCAACACAACCAGAUGCACAUGUGUGACGCAUGCAGGGAUUUCAUGUCACACACAGUGCUGUACUGAUGCUUUUAUUACUACAGUCAUGACUGUGAGGAGGUUGUGCUAAAUAAAA